UACAGGAAUGAAAUAUAUUCUUCUUAUAUUGUUUCUAUAACUAUGUCACCCUUGACUAAGCCUGGUGAUGAAGCAUGUAUAAUUUAGGGUAAGAAAAAUCUAUAUUUAAGAUUGUGAUGGCACAUCCAAAGUUGGACUGGAACAUCCAAAUACCAAACAAUUGGCACAAUCAUAUAACUAAUUAUGUCAGGCCGGAAAUAACAGUUUAUCUUUAGUGAAAUCCUAAUUAAUGGUCCCUUGUUAAUUAUCUGUGGUUAAAAAGGUCGAUGUGAUGGGGAAUAACUGCAUGAUUACAUUGUUAACACUCUGGGGCAACUGGACAAGGUAGGAACUGACAGCCGUUUCUUAUCCUUAUUUCCCAUUUAAAUUCUGUACGUUCAUGUGCUGAGUAAAAAUUGAUAUAAAAAUUGUAUAAUAAAUAUUCAUACCUCUACUGUGUUGUUUUGUUCUUGCAAAUAUUUAUACUUCUAUAUUUUGGUAUUUCAAGUUACCCGCCACGGCAGCUAUUCGCCAUAUUAUGAAAGCGGCGCUCCUUAUAUAAUAAAAUUUAUAUGUCACGUGACAUGUAUUGGCCAACCGUAACAAUGAAAACAAAAAUGGUGGGACAAGUUGAGCCGGGCAAUUGCCUGAACUUUCAUGAAUUUGGAGUUACUUAAGAGUUGACAGCUUGCCCGGGUGUGGCGCUUUAUUAGCUAUGACUUUAAGGAAAGCGGGACUAUAGGUAUGAAGAUUAUUUGAAUGGUGCUGUAGCUGAAAGGUCAGGUUACUCCAGUCUUG